UACAGAGGCCUCGAGCGUUAGGCGGAAUCACUGGGCUUAAAGCGUGUGUAGGCGGACCCCUAAGUGCCUUGUGAAAUCCCACGGCUCACCCGUGGAACGGCUGGGCAUACUGGGGGGUCUUGAGCCACCUAGGGGCUACCGGAACAAAUGGUGGAGCGGUGAAAUGCGUAGAUAUCGGGAGGAACACCAGUAGCGAAGGCAGCCCCCUGGGUCAAGAUUGACGCUCAUGCACGAAAGCGUGGGGAGCAAACAGG
rnacentral:rRNA from 1 species